rnacentral:rRNA from 1 species
AUUGAACGCUGGCGGCAUGCCUUACACAUGCAAGUCGAACGGCAGCACGGGAGCUUGCUCCUGGUGGCGAGUGGCGAACGGGUGAGUAAUACAUCGGAACGUACCCUGAAGUGGGGGAUAACGUAGCGAAAGUUACGCUAAUACCGCAUAUUCUGUGAGCAGGAAAGAGGGGGAUCGCAAGACCUCUUGCUUUAGGAGCGGCCGAUGUCGGAUUAGCUAGUUGGUGAGGUAAAGGCUCACCAAGGCGACGAUCCGUAGCGGGUCUGAGAGGAUGAUCCGCCACACUGGGACUGAGACACGGCCCAGACUCCUACGGGAGGCAGCAGUGGGGAAUCUUGCGCAAUGGGCGAAAGCCUAACGCAGCAACGCCGCGUGCGGGAUGACGGCCUCGGUGUAACGACUUCUAGCAGGGACGAAAUAGAGGUACCUGCAGAAGAAGACUCCGGCGUAACUACGU